AUAAUAAUUUGAUUUUUGUUUAACAUUUUAGUUUUAAUAUUUUUAUGCAUGUAUAUUUUUUAAAGAUCUUAAUUUUUUAAUAAUUAUAAAUUUAUUUUCAGUGUUUAUUAUUUCAGAAAAUUGAUAUUUCAAUUAAAGAAAUUUUUUUAUAUCAGAAAAAUGUUGUGCCAGCAUUCGCGGUUAUUCAUCAUGAUAAAAUUAAUAUUUUCGGUAUUACAGAAUUUAAUAAAAUUCCUUUUUUUUUAGGUUAAAUUUAAUAAAAGGUUUAUUUUAUUUCUGGGGAAUCUGAUCUUUAAACCAGGAUUAGAUACCCUGUUAUUUCAGGGAAAAUUUUAUUUCCGGUUAUUAGAUUUUUUGAAAUUUAAUGGAUCUGGCGGUUAUUAAAUCUUUUUAGAGGAACCUGUAAUUUAAAUGAUAGUCCACGAUUUUUUUUAUCUUAAUUAUUCUUGUAUAUCUCUGUCGUUGAAUGUAGUGAAAAUUUAUUUUCUUUUUUUAUUUUAAAAUUUAUGUUAGGUCAAGGUGCAGUUAUAUUAAGAUUAUUAUGGGUUACAUUAAUUUUUGUUAUUGAAUAUUAACAUAAUUUUAAUUUGAAAUUGGAUUUAAAAGUAAUUUAUUUUUUUAAAAUGGUUGAAUUAGCUCUUUAUAAUGUACAUAUCGCCCGUCAUUCUCACAAAGUGAGACAAGUCGUAACAAAGUAGGUGUACCUGAAGGUGUAUCUAGAAA
rnacentral:ncRNA from 1 species